rnacentral:tRNA from 2 species
GGAGAAGUGGCAGAGUGGUCGAAUGCACUGGUCUUGAAAACCAGCGAGGGUCACACCUCCGGGGGUUCGAAUCCCUCCUUCUCCG